CGCGGGGUGGAGCAGUCCGGUAGCUCGUUGGGCUCAUAACCCAAAGGUCAUAGGUUCAAAUCCUGUCCCCGCAA
rnacentral:tRNA from 1 species